UUUAACUCCAUCCCUUCUUCCAAUCACCGACGACUCUUCCCUUUCUAGUUUCAAAUUCCCAUUCUUCCUUAAAUCACUCAUCGACGGAAAAACUCCAUUCGCCAUUGUAAUUAGAAGUAAAGACUAAAAACGGAAACUCACCAUCACAACCUAUUUAGAAGUAAAGAUCAUAAAUUGAAACCGAUAAGGUUCGAACCACCAGUUCCACCCUCUUCGUCGCUGUGAAUUUGAUAUUGUUCGAUUUUAGUGUAGAGAUAAACAUUCAAAUAUGAUAUGGUUCGAUUUCGAUUUUGCAUCUUAUUUUCAAUUGCUUAACAUAGAUUUUGAGUUCCCUUUAAUGUGGUUCCCGAUUUGUUUAAUAUGAGUUCAACUAGGUUUAACCUGGUGAAGAUAUGGAUGUGUAAUGGUUCAUCGAUUUGUUUUUUAGGAAUGUUGGUUUUGUUAGACUACUGAACAAGGUAUGAUAUGCUUGUCUAUGUUAGUUUUUCUGAACUACUUUUGGUGUAUAAAUAAGAAACUAAAAAUGACAGUGAUGAGUGGUGAUUGAAGAGGGUGGGAAGGGAAGAGGUAUUGAUGGUGUUUGAUUUGAUAAGGGGUGCCAUGGGAGAAAAGGUGGUGGUCGGAGGCUUUGGGAUAUCAUGAUACAGAAAGCGAUGAAGGUGGACGGAUGGACUAAAAUGGAAAAUGAAAAAAAAUACAGGGACCAUCUAUGUAAUUUUGUUUUGCUUAAAACGCUACACGCUUCCUGAACCCUCGAGCACAACUAAACCCUAGAGAUUCCGUCGCCGAAACCGGUUCUUCCUGUCGCAGACUCCAUAACAGAGCACCGAAGGCUCAUGUAGCCUUGCGAGUCUGUUCAGGACAUUGAUUCCUGGAUGCGGUAAUAUCCAGUUAUCUGUGUAUGAAUCUCUAUUUAUACAAAGCUCGGAAUGGAAUCGAUAUUUUUUUGAUAAAUUCUGAUAACAUUCUUCACUUUCUUACCUCUCCAUAAUCUUCGAUCGAUUUGAAAUGUUUUCAUUACUUGUCUUUGUGGGGAUUCUUCUGUGCGUUGUCGAACAGAACAUGUAGCUGUUUGAAAAAGAAAAUUAAGAUUAUUGCAUCGGAGUUAACUCAGGGGCAUCAAUUCUCUGUUUUGAAUUAAAAUAAACAUUUUGUUUUUGGUAUUCAAAAUAAAAUCCAUGAUUGAGAUUAUUUUGUGUUGAGAAGGUGUUUUGUUUUCUUUCACAGGCAUCUUUUUGCUGCAAUUUAUAUGCUUCGGUUUAGCAUAACAAGAGCAUAUGCAUACUUUCCUUUUUAUAUUUGCUUCCAUUUUGUUGACCUAAUCAUGUAAUUAUUUCAACAUCCCCAUGAUGAAAUAUUUAGUAAUCUGAAUGUGUACAUGUUAUUGGAAAUGUGGUGCUCCCUUCUGCUUCCUAUAAGCAUAAGGUAGAGGAAUCACAAUUUCACAACUACAUGUCAGGCUGAUAAUAGGCAUUCUGAGGGAUAUACAUAUAUCUAUCAUAUCUUAUGGUAUUCUGCCUUUUAUUGUAUUUAAAAUCAGGAUUCUUAUAAUUGUAGUUAUUUAUCUAUUCAUUGUUGUUGCAACCUUUUCCUAGAUUCUAGGCUAUGGUAAUGUAAGUGAUUUGCUAAAAAAGCAUAUCAUUUUUGUGUAUAUGACAAAAAAUGUUGUGUUGAAUCAACUUCGUUUCUGUAUUUUCUCUUUAGGGAUCUAUUGAACUAUUUGUGUUCAUUCCCUAUAUCACUAAGCAAAAACAAACAAACAAACAAGGUUGAAGUUGAUGAAAAUAUGAAAUCAACACAUAAUAUUCAUUUAAUGGAUGGUAGUUAUUUCGGGAGCUAUGAUAAACAUGAUCUAGGUCAGUUAGAUAGUUUUGAUUGUUCUAAUCAUCUGAUCAUGUAAAAAAGAUUGUCUUAAAAGUUACUAAAUAAAGUUUAUUAACGAUUACAUAUAUUAAUUGAAUAUGUAUUUAACAAUUUGCUUGGAUAUAAUUGGCGGUAUCGGGUGACAUUCUUCAAUCUUCAUCGCCAACUCUUUCUUUUGUUAAUAAUUUCAUGUUGUUUGAGAAAAUAAAGUGAUUUUUACGACAGUAAUAUCCAAAACCAAAUCCAUGGUUAGAUUAUAAAUACUCAAAAGUUUAUAUUUAUUUUGCGAACACAUAAGGUGUUAUUAGUGAUUGUCUGUUGAUUAAACAUAAAAUAUGUUGCCC
rnacentral:lncRNA from 1 species